UACGAAGGUGCCCAAGCGUUGUCCGGAAUUUAUUGGGCGUAAAGGAGCUACGUAGGCGGUCUGUUCGCGUCGGCUGUGAAAUCCCGGAGGCUCAACCUCGGGUCUGCAGUCGAUACGGGCAAACUAGAGGUAUUGCAGGGGAGACUGGAAUUCCUGGUGUAGCGGUGAAAAUGCGCAGAUAUCAGGAGGAACACCGGUGGCGAAGGCGGGUCUCUGGGCAAUAACUGACGCUGAGGAGCGAAAGCGUGGGGGAGCGAACAGG
rnacentral:rRNA from 1 species